rnacentral:rRNA from 1 species
GGACUACUGGGGUAUCUAAUCCUGUUUGCUACCCACGCUUUCGUGUCUCAGCGUCAGUUAUGGUCCAGAGAGCCGUCUACACCACCGGUGUUCCUCCUGAUAUCUACGCAUUUCACCGCUACACCAGGAAUUCCACUCUCCCAUCCCACACUCUAGUCAGACAGUUUGUAGCGCACCCUCCCAGUUAAGCCGGGAGAUUUCACACCACACUUAUCCAACCGCCUACACACCCUUUACGCCCAGUAACUCCGAACAACGCUUGCUGCCUACGUAUUACCGCGGCUGCUGGCAC